rnacentral:rRNA from 1 species
UACGGAGGGUGCAAGCGUUAUCCGGAAUCAUUGGGUUUAAAGGGUCCGCAGGCGGGAAAAUAAGUCAGUGGUGAAAUCUCUCGGCUCAACCGAGAAACUGCCAUUGAUACUGUUUUUCUUGAAUUCGAUCGAAGUGGGCGGAAUGUGACAUGUAGCGGUGAAAUGCUUAGAUAUGUCACAGAACACCGAUAGCGAAGGCAGCUCACUAGGUCUGGAUUGACGCUCAGGGACGAAAGCGUGGGGAGCAAACAGG